CCAUGGCUAGGUCAAAGCUCCUAAGUUCUGGUGAGCCACUUCCAAGCCGGACCCUUGAUCUACAUCCACGGCGACCUGGGUUGGCCACAAGAGGGAUUUGUUUGUAGCUUGAGGUAGUGUAUGAAAAUAAAUUGUAUAUGUGCAUCCAAUGGGCGAGAUAUUGGUCAUCCAAACAACACAAACCUGGAUUUUCUAGCACGCUGCUGAUUGUUGCUGUAGUGGAUGUAUUUUUGAGAUUUGAAAGAGGCCAAUGGAAGCUACAUAACUCAAGUCAGCGACUUCUAAAAGGCAGAAACGCUUUUGAAUUUCAUAAGAUGACAAAAAUGUCAGUAAUAAGACAACAUCAAGAGCUGUAAGGCAUGCACCAAAUGUUUAAAGCAUGGCUUGCUCUUUUGGAGAAGGGUUCGGUAGAAGUUAAUUGGAGAAUGGGUUUCCCUGCUAUAGAGAUACCUGUAAUAGCAUCCAAGAUCCCAAAGCCCCUUCUUUAUGGGAAACCUUCAAAAGAUGUCUGAGGGACAAGAGGGCAAGGAUUUUGUUAACACAGAGAAAACAAAGAGGAAUAUCAAUGUCUCUGAAUAUCUCGUUCUUGUGAUACUUCUGGGCUCUUUGGCCCAUGCCUCUGGCGAUCGACUAUCCUAGCAGCGUUUUGUGUAUGACCACUGUAAGAAUAAGCUGAGAGUUAUUUGUCUUGGUGUCUUACUUUAGUUCAUCCUUUCCAGCUGCUCCCUAUACUCCUAUCAUGGGAAACGAGGAAUCAGGUAAUGGAGAUACACAUUUUUGUGACUAUUCUUAAUUUCCAUCACCGAGGCUUGGAACUGAGGAUAUUCUUCGUUUGACGGUCUAACCCAUAAUGGUGCAGGUGACACCUCUUGUCUGGUUGGAAGUCCAACUUGUAAAACAUUCAAGAAGGAACGGUAGAGAAGUGGGUCUGCAUCAAGGAGAGUGUCCGUUGCACUUGUCACACAUUUCUUGGGGAUGGAUGGUAGCGGCGGCGAGAAACAGAGGUGACAGCACGCACGUCUGCCUCCGCCCCAACGUCUCUGUCGACUGGACACCUCCGCACCGCCUCCAUCCUCCCGACGGUUUUUGCUGAUGUGGGUGGGUUUGGACCGGCUUGGUUUUCUGCUAAGGCCCUUGAUAUAAAUGAACAUAGCUCAUUCAUCAGCUAUAAGGUCUACAGAGAAGGUGUUGCCUACACUUCUUGACCGUCUAUCAAGGUUCUUAGCAAGCACUUCCUCUCAAAUGCUUCCAAGUUACUGAUUCCUCUUUAUCCAAUGCAUACAAGAUGAAUUCUUUUAGCUUCCACUUCAAUGAUAUGCCUCUUAGCCACCUCAAUGUUAAUUAUUGUUUAACGUAGCGAUAAGGCUAUCCAAACAAGAAUUCAGGCUAAAGAAGCUACAGAAUCAGCUUUUAAGGAUGGAAAACAGCUAUUGUUUCCUACAGCAGGACUACCAUCUGUACCAGGUUCCACAUAGAUGUUGUUUGUCAGAUGAAAAGGUCCUGGUUUGUUUCUGUUCAGCUGAUGCCGAGGGUGAAAUUGAGAUGAGAGGAAGCAUGCUUCUCAUUACAGAAUUAUGUGAUCACUUUGUACCUACAAAGAAAGCAACCCAUACAAAAAAUGCUUGUGGAGGUGGCCAAGACCAUGUACCACAUUAUUGUCUUCAUGGCACUCGAUCGGGUAUGAUUUGUUACCCUCACUGUUGCUGCUUAAACUUUUUUUUACUUCCCACUCUAAUUGAUGAAUAAAACUAGGGUAUCAAUUAAUCUUGUUGGGUAUGUGAUGGGAUGGGGAGGGCUGGUGUGUCAUGUGUGUGUGGUUUAGCACCAUGGGAAGAAGCAACACAGGGGAUAUAGCAGGGAUCUUAUGGCUGCUGUCAUGGCGACCAUUCUGUUCCUGCAUUUGUGUGUUCUUAUUAUUGUUUGGCUUGGGGGUAAUUGUGAUUUAUGAGAAAUGGGGUAGCCAUCUGAUACUAAUAUUAAGAAAGUGUGAGUUUAACCAUUUUUUCUCAUGCAGAAAUUACGCAUGGGGCUGAUCCUCGCCUCGGUGGUUAGAGUGAUUCUAUCUCGCAUGAUGAUUCCAGUAACUAUAAGUUCUAGGGGAGUAUAUAUUGUAUGUUUCAUGCUUUAGUUUUAAGUUUGAGGAGAGGUACAGAAGAAGGUUACAUAUAUUGCAGCUUCUUUGACUUUACAAUACUGAUAAAAAACUAAUCCUUCCGAUUCAUAAUAUUUGUCCCUAAUAUGGAUGUAUCUAGAACUAAAAUGUGUCUAGAUACAUUCAUAUUGGCGACAAUUAAUAUGAAUCGGAGGGAGUACUUUCAUUUUUCAAUUCGCUAGGUGUCCCAAUUUUUACUUUAAUUUUUCUUAGGGGUAGAUUAUCAACUACUAAUUUAGUUUCUGAAAAUGAAAAUCGGAAGGCAACCUCUUUUUCAGAAAACCAAACAACUGUGGAAUAUGGAAUAUAGAAGGGGAAUAUAGUUUCAUAUGUAUUUGAUUCAUUACUUCACUGCAAGGUCUCGGUCCUGAACCCACGUUAUUCUACCAGCAAACCCUGUAUAAGCAUGUAGGUUGCUUGAUUUUAGUGAAGAAAUAAAGCAUAUUUGAAACUCCACAUUCCGGCCAAUAAAUAUUUCACAAUUUUCUAUAGAGGCCACAUUUUGCGGCUAUGAUUUCCUGAAAUUGCACCAUUUUCUAUAGGCCUGUUCAAGGGAACACGUUUAGGAUGUGCCAAGUAACUUAGUUUCUACACUUGUAUGGCGACGAGAGGUCAUGGUGAUUUAUUAUUUUGCGUUCUGCGAAUUUUUUACUAUUUAGCAUAUAUGUAUUAUUUUCCAGUAUUAUGGCUAUCUAACCAAGAAGGUUUACAUUGCCUUCCAAGUAGUUGCAUUGUCAUGAUAACUUGUGAGUCAAGUCUCUGCUUUUCUUUGUCAGUAAAAUCUCUUGCUCGGCAAUGCAUUUAAGAAGAAAAGAGGAAAUACCCCUCUACAAUCACUCUCAUAAUAAUUUAACAGCCACUACCGUAUGAAACAUGCAUCAAGCUCAGGCAAUGAAUUAUCUUUUCGAGAAUAUAGGCAGUGAAUUAUCAUGCAGUCCCGUGCACCUUUCUUAAUUCCAGUUUCAAAACAUU